rnacentral:ncRNA from 1 species
GGCCAAGUUUUUAAGGGCGCACGGUGGAUGCCUUGGCACCAGGAACCGAUGAAGGACGUGGGAGGCCACGAUAGUCCCCGGGGAGUCGUCAACCAGGCUUUGAUCCGGGGGUUUCCGAAUGGGGAAACCCGGCAGUCGUCAUGGGCUGUCACCCGCUGCUGAACACAUAGGCAGUGUGGAGGGAACGCGGGGAAUGAAACAUCUCAGUACCCG